GGCCCAUGGCUCAGUGGGAGAGCAUCUUUUUUGUGUAGAGAUGGUCCCAGGUAUCUCUAGGUAGGGCCA